CGGAGCGGGGCCACCCCAGGGCCGAACCCGUUCAUGGCCGCUGAUCCUAUCGCCGCCUCCCCCUCACAAACACAAGAGGCAGCCCAACGGAGGAAAUGGAACUCACUCCCUUCUACGCAUGCGCCUCCUUGGGCGGAAGAUAAAUUUGUCAGAAUGAAGAAUGGCAGAUGCUCCGUGUCCAGAUGGCAGGUGCAAAGAGAACAAACACAGACAGGCGGCAGAGUGGUCGGCAGCGGUUUUAUUUUCCAGGCCAGGAAGCCAGCUGUCUGCAAUUGGAUGUCCACAAAAUAAAGCUGAAUAGCAAGCAGAAUCUCCUGGGAGAUUUACCCAUCAUCCUAUUGGUGUGCCCAAAUGGGGCACUUGGGGGUUGCUAAAUGCCCAAAGUAACUCAGAGGUUGCUAAAGCAUUGAAUAAAUCAACCAAUAAAUAAAAAUAAAGGAACAAAGAAACAAUGAAGUCAGGAUUUUUACCCAACUGACAUAGAUGCAAAAAUAGAAAGUGAGACUCUUGUGACAGAAAUUCAGAAAAAGAAAAGGGGUGGUUGGAAAUGCCUGCUGUGAUAUUAAUAUACCCUGCGCAGUUUUAACAUAGAAAAGUUUGUAUAGGUUCAGUCAGAUCAUAAGACAGACAGUUUUAAGUACUUGCAAUAUAUGAGUAACAAGCUGUGGAAGGCAAACGCUGUAGCAAUAACAUAUCGAUCUGUACCAGGGUUAAGAAACCAUGAUCUAUACAAUUUAAAAAUAACAAGAGCAUGCAAGUAGGGUGACAUUGUAAUCUGUGUGUUUAAUUUAUAAAAAUAUAAGUUAAAAAACAAAAUGCACUAUAUAGAAAAAUGCAUUGGGGGAAAAUGCAAGCCUUCACACGCAGCCUGAAAGGGCUCUGCCAGGAAAAAUGUUCUUGAUUCUGCUCAUUGUUCAGGCUGAUUCAUCAAAUAAAAGGUUUUAAGCCACAUUGCAAAUCC